rnacentral:rRNA from 1 species
GUGAGGAAUAUUGCGCAAUGCCCGAAAGGGUGACGCAGCGACGCCGCGUGGAGGAUGAAGGCCCUCUGGGUCGUAAACUCCUGUUGAGAGGGAAGAAUGGAGCGCUAUAGGCGCUCGUGACGGUACCUCUAGAGAAAGCACCGGCUAACUACGUGCCAGCAGCCGCGGUAAUACGUAGGGUGCUAGCGUUGUCCGGAUUCACUGGGUGUAAAGGGAGCGCAGGCGGGUCUUCAAGUCGUUGGUGAAAUUCUCAGGCUCAACCUGGGGACUGCCAAUGAUACUGGAGAUCUUGAGUGCAGAAGAGGAAGACGGAAUUCCUGGUGUAGCGGUGAAAUGCGUAGAUAUCAGGAAGAACACCGGUGGCGAAGGCGGUCUUCUGGUCUGUAACUGACGCUCAUGCUCGAAAGCGUGGGGAGCAAACAGGAUUAGAAACCCUAGUAGUCC